AAAGUUUGCUGUUGAGAGAUCUUCUCAAAAAUGAGGCACAGAAUGCUCUUAUACACAACAAGUUUUCAGCAGCAUGACAGAUGGAUUUGCACAAGAAAUUCCCCAGCAGAGCCCUAUAUCUAUCACCAAGUUCCAAAGAAGUGCACGUAUGAGCUGUGAAAUUACUAAAUUACUAGAAAGUUUUGACAGCACUGUCAUACACUGGUAUCGACAGAAGGAAGGGAAACCCCCAGAGAGGCUACUGUACUUUUCAGGAGGGAAAGCUUCUGUUGAAAGUGGCUUUCAAGAAAACAGGUACAUGGUUGAAAAAGUUUCUGGCCAGAAUCGAUGUGUUCUUACAAUAAAAGAUGUAAUCCCAGAUGACGCUGCCACUUACUAUUGUGCCUACUGGGAUGCUCACUAUGGUGGAAACUUAGAGACCAUUGAGGCAAAAACUCCCUCAGCAUCUGAACCACAGGCUUUUAACAGUGUGAGACUACAGUCACUUGCCUCACUUGCCACAGUACCUUUGCACAACUGUUUUGAAACAUGUGCCAUCAUUAUCACUCUGACCAUCAAACACACAUCUACAAAUGUCUACAAACAAAAAAAACCCAGAAACAAACAAACAAAAAACAAACAAAAAAAAACGCAAGUGAGUGAAGAAAACUGCUUGGUAACCUGAACAAUAUGUUUGCUGCUCCCUAGUAUUUCUAAGAAAAACACUCUGUAUCCCCCACAGUACUUCUUCCUGCUCUACGUGGAAGUGACUGUAAGGCCCUGGAAAUAUUCUUUACCUGAGGAUUCUGAUUUCACGAAAUCCCACACAGGCAAAUUUAAGUCAGAAAUUUAUAUUCUCAUAUCUACCACAGCUGAUGAUGCGCUGCUUAUAAAUUACCUCUCCUUUUGUUUCAUGUUAGGGCAAAUAGAAUAAAUAGGUUUCUUUGGAAGGCAGGAGACUUGCUGAAACAUUUGAUUUUGGGGAAGCCAUUUCAAAUUUUAGUGAGUUAGUAUAUGGCCUUGGGUACAGCAAGCAUUUCAAAGAAGUUGAGAGGAAUAACUUUUACUUGUACUGGACUACAUACUUGUAGCCCAGUAUGUGCCUACUCAUCGACUUGUGUUUUUUUUCUUUUUUUGAUCAAGUGUAUUAUUGGAUACUAGAAAUGCUGGUCCAUGAAACAUAAUGAGCUAUGGGACUUUAGAAAGAAAAUCAGACUAGGUGCAAAUAAAGGGUAAACACCGAUAUCCUCAGUUCUUGAAAGUCUUAAACACAAAGUGGAGGUUAAGCAGUUUUGCAGUAGUAAACUCACUGUGGACCCUGGAAGUACUUGCCAUGAGAGGCUUCACCUUCGCUAGU